ensembl:lncRNA
UUUCUAAUGAUAUAAAAAAUAUUUUUUUUCUACGUUAAUACAUUUAUUAUAUAGCAUUUUUUUUUUUUGUUGUUCUAAAUUAUUCAUUUAUUUGUUUUUUUAUCAUGAAGUAUUAUUUUUUAUACGCAUUGUUUUAUUAAGCACCUUUUUUUUAUUGUUUAGAUUGUGAGUACUUUUUUUUUUUUUUAUGAUAACUUUUUAUUUCAUUAUUUCAAAAUUUAAAAAUAUAAUUGUUUUAUUGUUUAAUGAUAAAAAGAAUUUAAUUAUAUUACUAUAAAAUAUAUAUUACUAAAAAUAUUCAAGUUAAAAAUAUAAAUAAAAAAAAAAUUAAAUAAUAUAGAAUAAUAUAUAAUUAUAUAAAAAAGAAAAUCUAUUUGUAACAUAUAAAAGACUAAUGAAAAAUAUGCAGUAAUAUCAUUAUUACUUAGUAAUUGCUAAUAAAAAAAAUGUUUACAACAAUUUAUAAAAUAAUUCUUGUUUUAUUUUUUGUAUGGGCAUGGACCAAUAAUAGUAAAGAUCACUUAGAAAAUAUAUUUAGCACACAGUAUGGUAGAUCACUGGCUGAACCUGAUAUUUUACAUAACGAGGAGAAUGCUCAAUCUAAUGUAGUAGAUUAUAACCAAAGUUCUGAAUAUAUUAAAAAUGAAGAAAAUUCUACAAAUAAAAGCGAUGAAGAAACCUUGCAAAUUGAUAAAUAUAACGAUAAAAAUUCAAUGUAUUUAUCCAAUAUGAAGCAAGAAUUAAUUAAAUUAUUAUCGGACCAAAAUGAUUCCAAAAUAACAAAUAUAUUGCAAAAUAAUUCAAACAUACAAAAAACAGAUUUACUACAUAUAUAUGAUCUUAUUAAACAUUUUAUUUCUGGUGAGAAAUAUUUACAAAUUAUAAAUAAAAGUUGUGAAUUAGCAACUAAAAAACAAUUUAAUCGUAAUACAAAUGCUGAAAAAUAUUACAACUCACUAUUAUACUUAUUGAAUACAUAUUUCUAUCUUGCUGAGAAUGAAAUAAAUUUUAAAAGACUGUCUAUGAAAUUACGUAAUGAUGGUUAUGAACGACCCAAAUUUAAAUCAAGUAAUUAUUUUAAUAUAUCUAAACUUUACAAAAGAAUAAAUAAACAAUUUAAAAUUAUGUUACUUAAACAAAUGAUAAAACAGGAAUUAGAUCCAACUGUUCAAUUGACUUAUAAAAAACGUUUUGAGCUACUUAGUUAUGGAUUUUUUUACCCACUAUCACUAUUUGUAAUUUCAAUUUUUACCUUACCAGUCUGGUCAAUUGGUCUUACGUUUACACUAAUAGGGAUGCUUCUUUACAUAUGUGUACAUUCUAAUUAUAAAAUAAUCAGAGAUGUACAUUUUGUAAAGCAAAUUAUGAAAAAAUCAAAACUAUUAGAUCAAAAAUAUUUGAAUUAAUUUGUACCUCAAAUUAUAACACAAAAAAAUAGUUACAAAAAAAAACAAACAUUAUUGUUUUUCAUUUGAAUAUGUUGUUUUUUUUAUAUUUAUUUAUUCAUUUAUUUAUUUAUCUUUUUUUUUUUUUAUGUCCCAUUUAGUAAUAAACACAACA